GAUGAACGCUGGCGGCGUGCCUAAUACAUGCAAGUCGAGCGAACGGACGAGAAGCUUGCUUCUCUGAUGUUAGCGGCGGACGGGUGAGUAACACGUGGAUAACCUACCUAUAAGACUGGGAUAACUUCGGGAAACCGGAGCUAAUACCGGAUAAUAUUUUGAACCGCAUGGUUCAAAAGUGAAAGACGGUCUUGCUGUCACUUAUAGAUGGAUCCGCGCUGCAUUAGCUAGUUGGUAAGGUAACGGCUUACCAAGGCAACGAUGCAUAGCCGACCUGAGAGGAGGAUCGGCCACACUGGGACUGAGACAGGGGCCAGACAACGACGGGAGGCAGCAGUGGGGAAUUUUGGACAAGGGGCGAAAGCCUGAUGGAGCAAUGAAGAGUGAGUGAUGAAGGUCUUCGGAUCGUAAAACACUGUGAGGGGGAAAGAAAAGAAGUGUAAGAAAAUGAGGGCAUGAUGACGGUAACUGAUGAAUAAGCACCGGCUAACUACGUG
rnacentral:rRNA from 1 species